AACGAACGCUGGCGGCAUGCCUAACACAUGCAAGUCGAACGAGACCUUCGGGUCUAGUGGCGCACGGGUGCGUAACGCGUGGGAACCUGCCUUUAGGUUCGGAAUAACUCAGAGAAAUUUGAGCUAAUACCGGAUAAUGUCUUCGGACCAAAGAUUUAUCGCCUUUAGAUGGGCCCGCGUAAGAUUAGCUAGUUGGUGGGGUAAAGCCUACCAAGGCGACGAUCUUUAGCUGGUCUGAGAGGAUGAUCAGCCACACUGGGACUGAGACACGGCCCAGACUCCUACGGGAGGCAGCAGUGGGAAUAUUGGACAAUGGGCGAAAGCCUGAUCCAGCAAUGCCGCGUGAGUGAUGAAGGCCUUAGGGGUUGUAAAAGCUCUUUUACCCGAGAUGAUAAUGUCAGUAUCGGGAGAAUAAGACUCCGGCUAACUCCGUGCCAGCAGCCGCGGUAAU
rnacentral:rRNA from 1 species